CGCGGGGUAGAGCAGACUGGUAGGCUCGUCGGGCUCAUAACCCGGAGGUCGUCGGUUCAAAUCCGGCCCCCGCAACCA
rnacentral:tRNA from 1 species